CCCCAUUCUCCGGCGUAUAAAAAUGGAAAAUGGAAAACAUCAAUCCCGCCAUCGCUGGGAAGGUUCUCGAACAAGAGCACUUCGAGCUCGCUCGAAUUCGAUUCGAGACUACGGAUCGAUUCGAUUCGAUUCCAACUCGGCCACCAUCAAUCGAUCGAAUCGCUCGAACAGGUUGAACAUUCCGUGGAGGGAGCAGGGCUCGGAGGUAGAGAAAGCUCGGUUGCUGAGCUCGGCUCUCGAGUUCGGCUUCGACGAGCAGUCCACCAGCAAGUGCUCGGACCGUCUCGUUUCGCUCUCUACGGUAACUCGAAUCGUUAUUUCGUCACGCGUUUUUAUGCUGAUAAGCGUUUUCGGAGAUUGCGUAGGUAGCUCUCGUCCCCACGAUGUUGAUGGCAGUAGAAGGGUCUUGCUUUAGGUUUGAAUGGAUCGGAGCGAGUUUAGUGAAGUAGCAGUCCUACUGACGAGCGAAAUGUCCGGCACUGGUCCAGCUUGAUGUGCUUAGGUUACUUUGGAUGAUGGUGGUUUCUUUCUUGAUUAUUGGGCCAAAUUGCGUGAUAUCUGGUCAUCGGGGAAUGACUUUAAUUGCUUGUGUUGCGCGGAUAAUUUGUGCAUUUGAUUGAAUGUGCAUAUUCUUAAUUAAGGAGAUUCAUUGCGUUUAGUCAUUCUAACGAUGGCUAUGGAAUAAUAGUCUACUUUGGAUUUGAAUGGACCGGAGUUUGGUUCGUUGAGCGUUAAUCUCAUCCCCUGUUUCUUUGUGGGUUUGGCAGAGUAGUCCUAUUGACAAGCGAACCGUCUGGCUUUUUCUAAAUUCACUGCAAAUUACUUAUGGGUGUCUUGCAAUAAUACCAAUAUUGUGUCGCACUGAACUAAGUGUAGAAUACUUAUUGUAGAUAGUAUUUAUUUGAUCUCUUGUUUGCCAUGGCUCUUGCAAAAUCAUCUCUUUCUUCUUUUAGUUCUGUUAAGGUGACGAAGGUCAAGAGUUUAUCACUGUGGCAAUGUCUUCCUAGUAGAACUUGUCGAAACCAUGCAAGACUCUGAGGAUUGGGAUGAUUUGCAAGCUGUAGAAUCAGAAGCUUGUGGAGUUUUGACUGAUAUGUUUGGCUAAGAUAUCCGUAAUGACGGUGACUGCAAUGUUAUACAAGAUGUCAAUAUUAUAGAAGAUUCUCCACAACUUGUGAAAAAUCAAACUUUCCUUGAGGUUGAUUCCUGUACUGACAGUGAAGACGAAGACGAUGUUUUGGGUAGUAAAACGGGUAGGAAAUCCGUGUGCUAUGUUCCUGACCAAAGCAGAACUCUCAAAUUCUGGCCAGAUGAUCUUUAGAAUCCACGGUAUGCUUCUUCCAUGGACAUAGACAAUGCUGCCAAACCACUUAAAUCAGUGUUUCACUAUUCUUUUCUCUUAUAAUUUUUUCUCUGCUUGAUCAUUUCCAAUUUGCUUGCGAUUCUGCACACAGCACAGGACCUACGCAAUGUACAUGUCCGAAAGCAUUUAGUAAAUUGCUUAUGGGGCCUCUCAUCCAAUCAAAUGUCCAAUAGAGAGUCAUAACUUUUGCCAAUUGCUUCCACACUCUUCAAGAUCCAAAAUGACAUAUUAGAACACUUUGGUCAAUAAAGAAGUUGAUUUCAGUUUGGAUGAUUUACAAAUUCCUAUAUUUCUCAAAUACUUUUGAGAGUAUAGCAGAUCAUCAAAGUGUGGAUUAGCAAUCCAGCAUCAUUGAAAGGAAUGUUUUGUGUAAACGAAAGCUUGUGAUUUAUCCUGAGCAUUGUGACUGUCAAAUUAAUGAUCUUUGCUUUUGCUUCACCUGCCUUUUCAGAAAAGAUAAACCAUUGUGCAAGCUAUUGUAUGUAACUCCUGAAAGUAUCGUGGGAAACCCAUCAUUUCUUGAGAUAUUGACGUAGAAAGGCAUUGUUUCUGAUGCACCAUAACUUUUUCUAAAAGGUUCUUUGUAAAUAUUUUAUAUUUGACCAUCAUGCAUUGCAGGCACUACUAGCUGGUUUUCUUACUGAUGAGGCACAUUGCGUGAGGUAUGCGUAAUCUUUGGCAUGCCUUGUACAUGAGAAAGAUCAUGCUAGAAUUACUUCAAAAGGAAUAAUUAUUUGUGAUUUCACUGUAAAACUGUUGUCCUUGUUCUAGAUAAAUAUAAGCAAACUAACUUUUAUGUAUGCUAACUUAAACUCUUUUUCCAAACUUUUCUGCAUUUUUCUGUGUUCCUAGCCUAAUUGAGUUAUCAAUGUUACACUAGACCUACUGAAGCCCAGAACCCUGUGAAGUUCUAAUAUAACAGAAUUCAGUGUUCCAUGUUUGAUGAAAAGAUUUAGGUUCCAUUGUUUGGGUACACUUAGCAGCACAUUGUUCAUUAUAUUGAGUAAAGAGCACACAACUUAACUAAGCUCCAAUAGAAAUCACUUCCUAGACUAAUUGGAAUCGGCAUAAGCUUGGAUAAUGAUCAAUUCUCCUCUCUAUGUUUGGCAUGAUACUCAGUCUCUUAAGCUGGUUCUUGUGUCCCUGUUUAUUCUAUUAAUGCUUAUACUUAACGUUAACGACUUGAGAAAGGCAAAGGUUCAACCAUGUGAUCAUUGAUUGUGUUUCUUACAAGGUUUUAAAUGGAUUUGCUCUGCCAGUUUGAUCUCAUGAAAGGAGCGUACUGCUGGUUUGAGCUUUUCUUGUACAUUUGACUGAUUAACGUAGAAAGCUCAUUGGUUGUCACUUUCGUGGUUGUCAUUAUUGUAGUCUAUAGGACAUUUUGUCCAGAUUACGGGGGACUGGGAUGUCUCUUGCAAAACUUUCCGAAUGUCCCAGUGAUGGCUUUAACUGCAACUACCACUCAGUCAGUUCGUGAGGAUAUCCUAAAGGCUCUUGGGGUUCCCUAUGCUCUUGUUCUUGACACGAACUUUGACAGACUAAAUCUAAGUAUGAGGUCAUAGCUAAGACCAAUGAACCACUGAAGCAGCUUGGAGAGCUGCUAAAGAAUUGUUUUGCUAAUUUUUGUGGCAUAGUACAUGGCCUUUUGAAGAGUGAAUGUGUUGAUGUCACAAGAGAAGUGCCGUAUAAAGACGGUGUUCAAUCAUGCUGGAUUAGUAGCCCGUCAAAGAGUAGCUGUUCAAAAGAAAUGGCAUACUAGAGAGGUCCAGAUUGUAUGUGCUACCAUUGUCUUUGGGAUGGAAAUAGACAAACCUGAUGUCGGAAGUCAAAAUGGACUUUGGCUUUGCCUAUUUCUUACAUUUUAGAAGUCGAUAAAAGUGUCGUGGUGGAAUGACCCCGAGAAGCAGAGGAAGAGGAGGCUGGCCAGAUACAAGCUAUAUUCGGUCGAGGGCAAGUUCAAGGCUUGUAUCAAACAAGGGUUCCAGAAAGUAUUGACUUAAAGUUACUUGGCCUUAUCUUUAGCUCCAGAAAGUAUUAACUUAAAGUUCAGCUAGACAACGAGCGAAUCAGACUCUAUGAUGCGAGUAGCUUUCAACUACUAAAGUUCCACAAUUUUAAUGUCGUGUGAUAAAGAGGAACAUCUGAGAGUGGCUCCAAAGAAAUUGCUUCGAUUUAAACUUGAAUGAUGACUAAUGACCACAAUUUGGUGUAGUAUAGUCCGAGUACUAAUUAAUUAGAUGACCCCUCCACUGUUUUUGUCCAAACCAAAUGAGUAUAAACAUUGGGAGGAGAUACUUUCACCUUUCCAGA